rnacentral:ncRNA from 1 species
GGUUGGGCGCAAGCUUCAAGAGAUUUCCUCCGAGGGUAAGGAGGA